GACGAACGCUGGCGGCGUGCUUAACACAUGCAAGUCGAACGAAAAGACGGAAAGAGCUUGCUCUUUUCAGAAUUGAGUGGCAAACGGGUGAGUAACACGUAAACAACCUGCCUUCAGGAUGGGGACAACAGACGGAAACGACUGCUAAUACCGAAUAAGUUCCAAGAGCCGCAUGGCCCAUGGAAGAAAAGGUGGCCUCU
rnacentral:rRNA from 1 species